GGUCUGCAGCACGCGCCUA
rnacentral:snRNA from 1 species